GGAAUAUUGGACAAUGGGCGCAAGCCUGAUCCCGCCAUGCCGCGUGUGUGAAGAAGGCCUUCGGGUUGUAGAGCACUUUCAGCGGGGAGGAAGGGUGUUGUGUUAAUAGCACAGCAUUUUGCCGUUACCCGCAGAAGAAGCACCGGAUACCUCCGUGCCAGCAGCCGCGGUAAUACGGAGGGUGCAAGCGUUAAUCGGAAUUACUGGGCGUAAAGCGCACGUAGGCGGUAUGUUAAGUUGGAUGUGAAAGCCCCGGGCUCAACCUGGGAAUUGCAUUCAAAACUGGCAUGCUAGAGUAUGUGAGAGGGGUGUAGAAUUCCAAGUGUAGCGGUGAAAUGCGUAGAGAUUUGGAGGAAUACCAGUGGCGAAGGCGGCCCCCUGGCACAAUACUGACGCUCAGGUGCGAAAGCGUGGGGAGCAAAC
rnacentral:rRNA from 1 species